rnacentral:rRNA from 1 species
GUGAACGCUGGCAGUAGGCCUAACACCUGCCAGUCGAACGGCAGCACAGUAAGAGCUUGCUCUUACGGGUGGCGAGUGGCGGACGGGUGAGGAAUACAUCGGAAUCUACUUUUUCGUGGGGGAUAACGUAGGGAAACUUACGCUAAUACCGCAUACGACCUACGGGUGAAAGCAGGGGAUCUUCGGACCUUGCGCGAUUGAAUGAGCCGAUGUCGGAUUAGCUAGUUGGCGGGGUAAAGGCCCACCAAGGCGACGAUCCGUAGCUGGUCUGAGAGGAUGAUCAGCCACACUGGAACUGAGACACGGUCCAGACUCCUACGGGAGGCAGCAGUGGGGAAUAUUGGACAAUGGGCGCAAGCCUGAUCCAGCCAUACCGCGUGGGUGAAGAAGGCCUUCGGGUUGUAAAGCCCUUUUGUUGGGAAAGAAAAGCAGCAGGUUAAUACCCCGCUGUUCUGACGGUACCCAAAGAAUAAGCACCGGCUAACUUCGUG